AAUAUGCUGAUUAUGAUCUGAUUAUAAGCCUAUGCAUAUAAUAGCUUAAGAACCACCACACAACUCAGUCAUGUUGAUCGUUUGUUUUCGUGAACGGCCGAAUGGUGCUUCGCUUUAAAUGUUGAUGCCGUAAGCGAUUGUGGGACGGCAUUAUUUCCUUUCGUAAAGGACGGUCCAGUGUAUCCUAUGCUAAAGGAGAUAAGAUAGGAAGCAUUGAAGCACCUUUCCUUAGCAUUUAAGAGAAUUCGAACAUCUCUUAUCAUGGUUGCCACUUAGAUACUUCCGGGUCAUUUCACUCAGUUAGGAACCUUCCUAAGCAAAAAAGACUAUUCGGACGCAGCCAUAGGACGUAAUUUUUUUUGACUAUUCGGACGCUUCCUAAGUUAUGAUCUACCGUCUUCCGCCCGUGCCACGUAAGCUUCUGAGAAACUGGAUUCGUCCAUUCUUAACAACUCUAGGAAAUUAACAUAUUUUGCCAGUGCAAGUUUUCCCCACGUCGACCUUGAUACAUGCUAACGAAACACGUCCAGUACUAUUUAUAAUAUUAUCACAAAUCGGCUAUUUUUUUAUUUUGUAGCUUAACUGCUGUGCACCAUGCGGCUUCUUGGAAUUUACAGCUUGAUGUUGCAUAUUGCUUUAGUUUAUUGCACAGAGUUAACGUUUGUAUUGCCAGAUAACGAUAAACAAUGUUUCUUCGACGAUCUACAGGAAGGAGUCAAGAUCGACAUCGACUAUCAAGUCAUUGCUGGGGGGAACUACGACAUUGACUGUUUUGUUACAGACCCACAGAACAAUGUUCUGUAUCAGGAGAAAAAGAGACAGUAUGACAGCUUCUCGCACACAACAACAUCCAAGGGUGUUUACAAGGUCUGCUUCAGCAACGAGUUCUCCACUUUCACCCACAAAACUGUCUACCUGGAUUUUCGAGCUGGGGAAGAGGCCCCUCUCCUACCUGACAUGAACAGAGCCACCGCCCUCACUCAGAUGGAGUCAGCCUGCCUCUCCAUCCAUGAGAUCUUGAAGGUAGUGACAGACUCACAGACGUGGUACCGGCUCCGGGAGGCACAGGACAGGAUUCGGGCUGAGGACCUGCAUGAGCGUGUGUCUUACUGGUCCAUUGGGGAGACGGUCAUCCUGUUCGUGCAGAGGCUGCAAGCCCACCUCCCUGUCCACGUGUUGCCUGUCAUCACAGUGAACCUUCAGAGGAUCCCUGGACAUCAGCCACCAGCCCUGCAGAGGAGCCCUCGCUGCCAACUGCCACCAGUCCACAGAGGCUCCAUGGCUUUCGAUGGUGCCUUGGGACAGAGUGGCGAGGCUGCAACCUCCGGGCGGUGCCUCGAAACAGACCUGUGGGGCAUCGGCCUCCAGGAGCACCUCUGUUUUCCCACAAGAGAUAGCAGGAUAUUAUGAAUUCAUAAACAUAAAACUGGAUAUGCCUACAGGGCAAUAUAAGGGCCUAAGUAUUUUUAGCUGUCAGCAGUUGCAGACUGAGGACAGCCCACCCCCACUCAACAUUUGAAAGAAGAACCAAAUUUGUGCUAUGAAUGUAUUCAUAAUAGUAUUGUGAACAUAUAUUAUUGUAAACAUCAGAAUUUAUUGAAUUGAAAAAAGUACUCUUGCUAGACUGGGGGAGGAUUACUUGAGUUUCAGAAUAUUGAUUUUCACUGCCCUGCUUGCACACAACAGAUAUGUUGGAAAGAAAAAUAACCUUUUGGAAUGAACAAUAGAGAAGAGUAAAAGAGUAUAUUUGAGUCACUUCCUGGCUUUGCACUCAGCAGUUUCCAAUGUGCCAUAUAAAGAAGCGGCCCCUCUACAUGAGCGCUAGGAACACCAUUCUGAAAGCUACGAUGGCUGGUUCAAAGGCAUCUUCAAGGUCAUUUUACAGAAACAACCUCCACAGGACUACUUGCCUGUGGGAGUUUUAUGGUGAGAGAAUGAGAUGUCACUACUCCACGGAAGGGAAAGAUGGACUGGACAUGAUCCUGGAAGGAACCUGCCAAUUUGGACUCCCUUGUUUUGUGUGUGUUGGUGUGGUGAGGAACGAAUGGGAUGUGGGAAGGGCUGAAGGAGAGGUAGAGGAGUGUGGGUAUGAAUGAGUGCUUGUUUUGUCUCGUCUUGUCUAGUAUGUAAAGUUGGAAAAUUGAAAAUGAAAAUAAAAUUCUAUUAAAAAAAUUGAUAACCUGAAGGAUGGAAGGAGUUCUUCGAAAAACUGA